UACGAGGGGUGCAAGCGUUGCUCGGAAUUAUUGGGCGUAAAGGGUAGGUAGGUGGUCUCAUUUGUCUGGGGUGAAAUCCUUGAGCUUAACUCAAGAAGUGCCCCAGAAACGGUGAGACUCGAGUACUGGAGAGGGUCGUGGAAUUCCCGGUGUAGCGGUGAAAUGCGUAGAGAUCGGGAGGAACACCAGCGGCGAAGGCGGCGACCUGGACAGUAACUGACACUCAACUACGAAAGCGUGGGGAGCAAACAGG
rnacentral:rRNA from 1 species